UACGUAGGGUGCAAGCGUUAUCCGGAAUUACUGGGCGUAAAGGGCGCGUAGGCGGAUAGUUUAGUCAGAGGUGAAAGCCCAGGGCUCAACCCUGGAAUUGCCUUUGAUACUGGCUAUCUUGAGUUCGGGAGAGGUGAGUGGAACUCCGAGUGUAGAGGUGAAAUUCGUAGAUAUUCGGAAGAACACCAGUGGCGAAGGCGACUCACUGGACCGAUACUGACGCUGAGGCGCGAAAGCGUGGGGAGCAAACAGG
rnacentral:rRNA from 1 species